rnacentral:tRNA from 1 species
AUAGCUUUAGUUUAAAAAAAUCACAAGUUUGUCGUAUUUGAGAUGCGGUAUCCGCAAGCUAUU